CCUACGGGUGGCAGCAGUGAGGAAUAUUGGUCAAUGGACGCAAGUCUGAACCAGCCAUGCCGCGUGCAGGAAGACUGCCCUAUGAGUUGUAAACUGCUUUUGUACGAGGGUAAACGCAGAUACGCGUAUCUGUCUGAAAGUAUCCUACGAAUAAGGAUCGGCUAACUCCGUGCCAGCAGCCGCGGUAAUAAGGAGGAUUCAAGCGUUAUCCGGAUUUAUUGGGUUUAAAGGGUGCGUAGGCGGUCGGAUAAUUUAGAGGUGAAAGCGCGGGGCUCAACUUCGGAAUUGCCUCUGAUACUGUUCGGCUAGAGAGUAGUAGCGGUAGGCGGAAUGUGUGGUGUAGCGGUGAAAUGCUUAGAGAUCAUACAGAACACCGAUUGCGAAGGCAGCUUACCGGGCUACUUCUGACGUUGAGGCACGAAAGCGUGGGGAGCAAACAGGAUUAGAUACCCCGGUAGUC
rnacentral:rRNA from 1 species